rnacentral:RNase_P_RNA from 1 species
CCGGUAAGGGUGAAAAGGUGCGGUAAGAGCGCACCGCACGACUGGCAACAGUUCGUGGCUAGGUAAACCCCACUUGGAGCAAGACCAAAUAGGGUCCCAAGGCGUGGCCCGCGCUGGGACCGGGUAGGUUGCUAAAGAUGUCCAGUGAUGGCCAUCGUAGACGAAUGACUGUUCAAGACAGAACCCGGCUUAUAGAUCGACUCUCCAC